rnacentral:rRNA from 1 species
AUUGAACGCUGGCGGCAGGCUUAACACAUGCAAGUCGAGCGGAGCGGCGGACGGGUGAGUAAUGCCUAGGAAUCUGCCUGGUAGUGGGGGAUAAGGUCCGGAAACGGGCGCUAAUACCGCAUACUAUCAGAUGAGCCUAGGUCGGAUUACCUAGUUGGUGGGGUAAAGGCCUACCAAGGCGACGAUCCGUAACUGGUCUGAGAGUAUGUUCAGUCACGCUGGAACUGAGACACGGUCCAGAUGCCGACGGGAGGCAGAAGUGGGGAAUUUUGGACAAUGGGCGAAAGCCUGAUCCAGCCAUGCCGCGUGUGUGACGAAGGUCUUCGGGUUGUAAAGCACUUUAAGUUGGGAGGCGUUACCAACAGAAUAAGCACCGGCUAACUUCGUGCCAGCAGCCGCGGUAAUAC